rnacentral:lncRNA from 1 species
UCACCCAUGGGGUCUCACUCUCUCACAUUUGCCCUUUCUAGACACUUGGUGGAUUUUUCUUAAAACUAGAUGCCAGAGCCAGGGUGAGGGUGUGUGCCGAUAAUCCCGGGACUUUGGAGGCUUAGAUUGGAGAGUAGCCAUAGACUCAAGGCCAUCCUGGGUAAUAUAAGGAACAGUAAUCUAGCUUGGUUGCAGUGUGAGAUCUCUCUCUUUAAAAACUGAGAGUGAACAACAGGACUAGUGUCGGUGUGUCCAUCGUGCACAUAGGUUCUUGUUCCUGGGUUCUUGCCCAGCACAAAAUCAAACCAGGUGGAGCUUGCCUGGUAUUGGGGUUGGAGACAAGAGGAUCAGGCAGUCAAGAAAACAAUGACAUGGCAUCCCAUCACAACCGCAUAUUCCUUGUGAAUCUGAAUACCGUUCAAAUGGAGAAAUGAAAACGGAGCAUCCAGAUGUGCAGUGAAUAUUUUGUGUGACUCACAUCAGGAAUUGGCCUGAGCAUUGAGUUCAUCCCUUGUGCACUGCACUGAGGAGCUGUUCGCUCCGUGUCAUUAGUGCACCUGAUUUGCUGCAGUCCCUGCUUCAACUCAGGCCACAACUGGGUUGGUUAGGUGAGUUUCUG